UAUGUGAUCGUCUCUCGCAUAUCAAUAAGCGGAGGAAAAGAAACUAACAAGGAUUCCCCUAGUAACGGCGAGUGAAGCGGGAAGAGCUCAAAUUUGAAAUCUUAAAGGGUUUCCCUUUACGAAUUGUAGUUUAAAGAAGUGUUUUCUGUUGAGGUUUUGGUAAAAGUUCUUUGGAAUAGGACAUCAUAGAGGGUGAGAAUCCCGUAUUUGACCUUUACUUUCAACUUUGUGAUACACUUUCAAAGAGUCGGAUUGUUUGGGAAUGCAGUCCAAAAUGGGUGGUAAAUUUCAUCUAAAGCUAAAUAUUGGCGAGAGACCGAUAGCGAACAAGUACCGUGAGGGAAAGAUGAAAAGAACUUUGAAAAGAGAGUUAAACAGUACGUGAAAUUGUCAAAAGGGAAGCGUUUGACACCAGUGUUGUUUUUCUGAAAAUCAAUUAAAGAACUGUUUAUGCUAAGUUGUUUAGACUUUAUCAGCUAACUGUUUAGUUUUGAGCUUUUCUUUAAUGCACUUUUCAGUUAACAAGUCAACAUCAAUUUCUUUUGCUGUAAAAAAGCUUGAGGAAGGUGGCUUGAGAUUCGUCUUAAGUGUUUAUAGCCUCUUGCCUAUGCAGUCGGAGAGAUUGAGGUCUGCAGCGUAGAUCCUUCGGGGCUAAAUGCAUUUGUGCUAAGUUAUAGCAUUUUAUAGACAACUUGUUGACUAUGAUUUGUCUUGUAGCUUACUCGCUUAUGUUAUUUUACCUACGCUUAGGAUGUUGAAGAUGUAGCACAUCAU
rnacentral:rRNA from 1 species